rnacentral:rRNA from 1 species
UGGGGAAUAUUGGACAAUGGGCGAAAGUCUGAUCCAGCCAUGCCGCGUGUGUGAAGAAGGUCUUCGGAUUGUAAAGCACUUUAAGUUGGGAGGAAGGGCAGUAAGCGAAUACCUUGCUGUUUUGACGUUACCGACAGAAUAAGCACCGGCUAACUCUGUGCCAGCAGCCGCGGUAAUACAGAGGGUGCAAGCGUUAAUCGGAAUUACUGGGCGUAAAGCGCGCGUAGGUGGUUCGUUAAGUUGAAUGUGAAAGCCCCGGGCUCAACCUGGGAACUGCAUCCAAAACUGGCGAGCUAGAGUAGGGCAAAGGGUGGUGGAAUUUCCUGUGUAGCGGUGAAAUGCGUAGAUAUAGGAAGGAACACCAGUGGCGAAGGCGACCACCUGGGCUCAUACUGACACUGAGGUGCGAAAGCGUGGGGAGCAAACAGG